AGAGUUUGAUCCUGGCUCAGGACGAACGCUGGCGGCGUGCCUAACACAUGCAAGUCGAGCGAAUGAAAUUCCUUCGGGAACGGAUUUAGCGGCGGACGGGUGAGUAACACGUGGGCAACCUGCCUCAUAGAGGGGAAUAGCCUUCCGAAAGGGAGAUUUAAACCGCAUAAGAUUGUAGUCCGGCAUGGUACACCAAUUAAAGGGAGCAAUUCCGUUAGGAGAUGGGCCCCGCGGCGCAUUAGCUAGUUGGUGAGGUAACGGCUCACCAUAGCAAUGAUGUCUAGGGGUUUUGAGAGGAAGGCCCCCCACACUGGGACUGAGACACGGCCCCAGACUCNUACGGGAGGCAGCAGUGAGGAAUAUUGGACAAUGGAUGGAAAUCUGAUCCAGCCAUGCCGCGUGCAGGAAGACGGCCUUAUGGGUUGUAAAACUGCUUUUAUACGGNAGCAAUAAGGGUUACGAGUAAUCCGAUGAGAGUACUGUAUGAAUAAGGAUCGGCUAACUCCGUGCCAGCAGCCGCGGUAAUACGGAGGAUCCGAGCGUUAUCCGGAAUUAUUGGGUUUAAAGGGUGCGUAGGCGGCCAUUUAAGUCAGCGGUGAAAUUUUGCAGCUUAACUGUAACAGUGCCGUUGAUACUGUUUGGCUAGGAUUUGGUUGUAGUGUGCGGAAUGUGUGGUGUAGCGGUGAAAUGCUUAGAUAUCACACAGAACACCGAUUGCGAAGGCAGCACACUAAGUCAUUAUUGACGCUGAGGCACGAAAGUGUGGGGAUCAAACAGGAUUAGAUACCCUGGUAGUCCACAC
rnacentral:rRNA from 1 species